rnacentral:tRNA from 1 species
GGAAAAAUGGCUGAGUGGUUUAAGGCGCUGGUUUGCUAAACUAGUAUAUUUAAAUAUCGUAGGUUCAAAUCCUAUUUUUCCG